CUCUUUCAUCUCUUCUCUAAUUCUCGUUCUUCUUCUUUGAUCCCUCUCAUCUCUGUUCUUCUCUCUCCAACCAAGCACAACAACCAAGCCGUCACCAUCAACCACAACAAACAUCGCCGCCGCCUAAAAUCAGAAAUUUGAGGUUUGAAGUUUCUGAUUUUUUAAUUUUCGGUUUGAAGGUCGUGAAUUUGCUGAGUUUGAAGUUCGAAGUUUCUGGGUUGUAAAUUGUAAAAUUACAAAUUCAGCAAUUUUUCUGUUUUUUUUUUAAUAAAUUGUAAAAUAACAAUUUAUUUGAUGAAUAUAGCCUUGUUCGAUUUCUUGUUUUA